UACGAAGGGGGCUAGCGUUGCUCGGAAUUACUGGGCGUAAAGGGCGCGUAGGCGGGUCGUUAAGUUAGAGGUGAAAGCCCAGGGCUCAACCCUGGAACUGCCUUUAAUACUGGCGACCUAGAGUAUGAGAGAGGUGUGUGGAACUCCGAGUGUAGAGGUGAAAUUCGUAGAUAUUCGGAAGAACACCAGUGGCGAAGGCGACACACUGGCUCAUCACUGACGCUGAGGCGCGAAAGCUAGGGGAGCAAACAGG
rnacentral:rRNA from 1 species